UACAGAGGUCUCAAGCGUUGUUCGGAAUUACUGGGCGUAAAGGGUGCGCAGGCCGCGCGGGCAGUCAAAUGUGUAAUUCAGAGGCUCAACCUCUGGACUGCGCUUGAUACUUCCGCGCUCGAACCUUGGAGAGGAGUCUGGAAUUCUCGGUGUAGCAGUGAAAUGCGUGGAUAUCGAGAAGAACACUAAGGGCGAAGGCAAGACUCUAGACAAGUGUUGACGCUCAUGCACGAAGGCUAGGGUAGCGAACGGG
rnacentral:rRNA from 1 species